rnacentral:lncRNA from 1 species
GAGCUCCCGCGGGUGGGGAGGGACACUGGUUGGCCGCUGGGACGGGGACAACGUCAGGCAGCGGCGUAGGGGACGCUGGUUGGCCACUGGAACAUGCUUGGGUGGCAACAGUUUGGGGCAGACACUGGUUGGCCGCUGGGACGGCAUUGGGUGAUGGCACGGUCGUUGGGGACGUUGGUUGGCCAGCGGGAUGGUAGCGCUGGUUGGCCAACGGGAUGGCGCUGAGGGUGCUGGUUGGCCAGUGAGAUGCUGGCGAGGGGGGUGGUUGGCCAAUGGAGGUCUGCGGCUGGUGGCGCUGGAUCUCCAUGGACGUCUCUGGUUGUCCGUGGCUGGUGGCGCUGGGUCUCCAUGGAUGGUGCUGGACAUCCCCGGAGGUCUCUGGUUGUCUGUGGGUGGAGAUGGAUGUCCAUGGAGGGUGGUCCUGGAUCUCCAUGGAUAUCUCCGGUUGCCCCUGGACACUGACAGAGCUGCAUGGAUGCUGCUGGUCACCCCUGGAAGGUGGUGAUGGAUCUCCAUGGAUGCCACUGGUCAUCCAUGGGGCAGGAGCACCUGUGGGUGCGUCACGCCCGGGGGCAGGGGCAGGAUGGCCAGGGCCACCAGCAGGUGCAUGAGCUGGACGUCCAUGGAUGGCGUUGGUUGCUCAAGGAUAGUGGCACUGGAUGUCCGUGGAUGGUUAUCUGGAUCUCCAUGGACAGUGAUGGAUCUCCAUAGACAUCUCUGGUUGAAUGUAGAUGGUGAUGGAUGCCCAUGGAUGAUGAUAGAUGUCCACGCACAUCUCUGGUUACCCAUGGAUAGCGAUGAUUGCCCAUGGACGACGCUGGAUGUCCAUGGAUGGUGGCACUAGAUCUCCACGGACGUCUCCGGAUACCCAUGGAUGGUGGCACUGGAUCCCCACCGAUGUCUCUGGUUGCCCCAGGACAGGGCUGCAUCUUCACAGAUGCCUCUGGUUGCCCCUGGAUGUUGGCACUGGAUCUCCAUGGAUGGUGCUGGAUCUCCACGGAUGUCUCUGGUUGAAUAUAGACAGUGCUGGUUGCCCUGGACGUGGCUGGAUCUCCACGGAUGCCUCUGGUCGCCCCUGAAUGGUGGCACUGGAUCUCCGUGGAUGGUACUGAACCUCCAUGGAUGUUUCUGGUUGCCCCAGGACAGUGCUGGACCUCUAUGGAUGUCUCUGGUUGCCCCUGGACGGUGCUAGAUCUCCACAGACGUCUCUGGUUGCCCACAGAUGGUGGCACUAGACCUCCAUGGAGGGUGCUGGACCUCCAUGGACGUCUCUGGUUGCCCCUAGACAGUGCUGGAUCUCCACAGAUGUCUCUAGUCGCCCACAGAUGGUG